UAGCUCAGUUGGUAGAGCGCCUCACUUGUAAUGAGGAUGUCGUGGGUUCAACUCCU
rnacentral:tRNA from 1 species